AUUGAACGCUGGCGGCAUGCUUUACACAUGCAAGUCGAACGGUAACAGGCCGCCAGGUGCUGACGAGUGGCGAACGGGUGAGUAAUGCAUCGGAACGUGCCCAGUCGUGGGGGAUAACUACUCGAAAGAGUAGCUAAUACCGCAUACGAUCUAUGGAUGAAAGCGGGGGACCGUAAGGCCUCGCGCGAUUGGAGCGGCCGGUGUCAGAUUAGGUAGUUGGUGGGGUAAAGGCUCACCAAGCCAAAGAUCUGUAGCUGGUCUGAGAGGACGACCAGCCACACUGGGACUGAGACACGGCCCAGACUCCUACGGGAGGCAGCAGUGGGGAAUUUUGGACAAUGGGCGCAAGCCUGAUCCAGCAAUGCCGCGUGCAGGAAGAAGGCCUUCGGGUUGUAAACUGCUUUUGUACGGAACGAAACGGCUCUGGUUAAUACCCGGGGCUAAUGACGGUACCGUAAGAAUAAGCACCGGCUAACUACGU
rnacentral:rRNA from 1 species